GAAUGCGAGCGAAGCCUCCCUGCCUGCCGGUUGCCGGCCGACCUGGCGCAGCGCAGCCUGCGACGAGUCCACCUCCAGCGACCGAUUUCACCCUCGCUCCACCGCGCCGGCAUCGUCCGCACUCCGCGACAGAUCUCCCCUCUCUCCUUCCUUGGCCAAUCUCCGGUGGCUGCUGCCGCUGCAGCCGUGAACCAGACGCGAGCCGCCGCCUCGACCCUCGUAGCCUCGUGCGCCCGUGGCCUGUUCGACGGAAUUCCCCGCCGGGGCGCCUGGUUCGGCUUCCGGCGCUGAGGAUGCUCUUGCGGGCGUACGUGGGCAUCCUGGCACGCGGAGCCAGGCCCGACGCGUACACGCUCCUGCCAUAAUGCCAUUGCUCAAUGCGCGGUGUGGAGCCGGCUGUCGGACUCCGUUCACGCGCAAGUCGUGGCUAAGUUUGGGCUAGAGCUCAACGCCCGCUUGCCAAAGCUCUCUGGUCCUCAAGGUGAGGAGGCUAUCCAUAUGAUUUACAGGAUGCUCCAGAUGAAGGGGCAGUCAUCAGUGCAUAGCGAAACCAGCCACAGAAGCCACUAAAGGUCAGCCUCGGGAUACCAAGCUCCCUCGCGAUGUCACCAGUCCACCAGUGAAUCAGGUCAGAUAUGAUGCAGCUCGGAGGCGAGCGCUGCUGCUCAUGGAGGUAUGCCUUGAGCGGCUCCUGAAGCAUAGCGAUGGCAUACAUGAAGUUGGGGAGAAGAUCCGUGGAUUGGAUCAUGUCUAGGUUCUCGCACCCGUCCGGUAGGCCGAACUCGGCGCUCGGGAAAUGGAGCUCCAUGAGCCGAACUUCCAGGCCCGACGCCUCCACAUCGGCUGCAAAGCCUGCCAACCUGGAGGCGUUCACUGGCGUGGUGAUGAAGCUGACAUGCGCUCCGUGCUCUGCCAGCAGGCGCGCCAUGUCGGUGAUGGGGAUGGUGUGCCCCUGAGCCAACAUCGGUACCAGCACAAAGUGCGCCCUCAUGGAGCCGCUCUGGCCAUCGCCACUGCCCGUGAAGGUCAUGGCUAAUCGGCUGUUGUAGCAAAAGUACUGGUGAUGGAGUCAGUCAAACUGGGAGAACAGUGACACUGGCAAGAUAGCAUGAUCUGCUGGACACAAUCAGAUGAUGGUCACAAUGGCAACUAUAGUGUGUGUAUAUAACACCUGGUGCUAUACCUUCCCAAGGAAAGUUGACGAGCUGACGAUGCAACAGCGUAUCAAAUUGGCCACCUCUUGCCAGUGACGCAUGCUCUCACAUCAAUCAUGGACUCGUGGAGUCAGCCAUGUGGAUGAAUCUUCAGGUUCUGAAUCGUCAGAAUCCAGGCCAUCUGAUCAGACAUUGAGGGCUCAGAUUAACCACCGCUACCGCCUGUCACGCUCAAAGAGGAGUCAUUUUUACAGGAUUUGGAUGAUCCCCAUGUCUGAUGCUGACUUGUCGUAUAUGCACACUUACUUAACUCUCAAGGCUGUGGAAGGCCGAGCCAGCCGAUAUAAUAUGAUAGUGCAUUAUUUUCUGUGUGGAGAUUCAGUCAUUCAGUGUACUGUGAUAGUGGGUGGAAUUUUCUUGUUUGUAUCCUUUCAGAGUUUUGUUAGUGAGAAGCUAAAAGGAACUCCCAGUGACAUGGAAAAUAUGAGUCCAUUUCUGGAGCGACGCAAUGCAUCCUAAUCAACACAGUGGCUUCCUGACGCAAAGAGGGACGAGAAGCCACAAAAGCCACUAAAGGUGAGCCUCGGGAUGCCAAGCUCCCUUGCAAUGUCGCCGGUCCACCAGUGCAUCAUGUCAGAUAUGAUGCAGCUAGGAGGCGAGC